GUGCCAGCCGCCGCGGUAAUACGGAGGGUGCAAGCGUUACUCGGAAUCACUGGGCGUAAAGGGCGCGUAGGCGGCUUGGUAAGUUGGAUGUGAAAGCCCACGGCUCAACCGUGGAACUGCGUCCAAAACUGCCAGGCUAGAGUCCGGGAGAGGCAGAUGGAAUUGGUGGUGUAGGGGUAAAAUCCGUAGAGAUCACCAGGAAUACCCAUUGCGAAGGCGAUCUGCUGGAACGGUACUGACGCUGAGGCGCGAAAGCGUGGGGAGCAAACAGGAUUAGAUACCCUGGUAGUCCACGCCCUAAACGAUGGAUGCUAGUCGUUGGGAAGCUAGUCUUCCCAGUGAUGCAGCUAACGCAUUAAGCAUCCCGCCUGGGGAGUACGGCCGCAAGGCUAAAACUCAAAGGAAUAGACGGGGACCCGCACAAGCGGUGGAGCAUGUGGUUUAAUUCGAAGAUACGCGAAGAACCUUACCUGGGCUUGACAUCCCUGGAAUCUCCCAGAGAUGGGGGAGUGCCUCCUUAUGGAGGAGCCAGGUGACAGGUGCUGCACGGCUGUCGUCAGCUCGUGUCGUGAGAUGUUGGGUUAAGUCCCGCAACGAGCGCAGCCCUCGUCCUUAGUUGCCAGCACUUAGGGUGGGCACUCUAAGGAGACUGCCCGGGUAACCGGGAGGAAGGUGAGGAUGACGUCAAGUCAUCAUGGCCCUUAUGCCCAGGGCGACACACGUGCUACAAUGGCGCGUACAGAGAGAGGCGAUACCGCGAGGUGGAGCAAAUCUCUAAAGCGCGUCCCAGUUCGGAUUGCAGUCUGCAACUCGACUGCAUGAAGUCGGAAUCGCUAGUAAUCGCGGAUCAGCCAUGCCGCGGUGAAUACGUUCCCGGGUCUUGUACUCACCGCCCGUCACACCAUGGGAGUUGAGCUCACCCGAAGCCGGGGGACCGACCCAUUAGGGAGGACCCUCGUCGACGGUGGGCUCAGCGACUGGGGUGAAGUCGUAACAAGGUAGCC
rnacentral:rRNA from 1 species